CCGCACGCGCGCUACACUGACGGACCAGCGAGUAUAAACCUUGGCCGAGAGGUCUGGGAAAUCUUGUGAAACUCCGUCGUGCUGGGGAUAGAGCAUUGUAAUUAUUGCUCUUCAACGAGGAAUUCCUAGUAAGCGCAAGUCAUCAGCUUGCGUUGAUUACGUCCCUGCCCUUUGUACACACCGCCCGUCGCUACUACCGAUUGAAUGGCUUAGUGAGGCUUCCGGAUUGGUUUAGAGAAGGGGGCAACUCCAUCUUGGAACCGAGAAGCUAGUCAAACUUGGUCAUUUAGAGGAAGUAAAAGUCGUAACAAGGUUUCCGUAGGUGAACCUGCGGAAGGAUCAUUACAGAAUGAAAGUGCUUAACUGCAUUUUUUUACACAUGUGUUUUUCUUUUUUUUUGAAAACUUUGCUUUGGUGGGCCCAUGGCCUGCCAGAGAUUAAACUCAACCAAAUUUUAUUUAAGUCAACUGAUUAACUAAUAGUCAAAACUUUCAACAACGGAUCUCUUGGUUCUCGCAUCGAUGAAAAACGCAGCGAAAUGCGAUAAGUAAUAUGAAUUGCAGAUAUUCGUGAAUCAUCGAAUCUUUGAACGCACAUUGCGCCCUUUGGUAUUCCAAAGGGCAUGCCUGUUUGAGCGUCAUUUCUCCCUCAAACCUUCGGGUUUGGUGUUGAACGAAACCCUGGGUUUGCUUGAAAAAAGGCGGAAUAAAACCAAAGGGAAGGUUUUUUUCCCUC
rnacentral:rRNA from 1 species